ensembl:lncRNA
GAACUAUUUUGCCUUCACCUUUCUUGAACAGAAUAGAAAGAAAAAGACAGACAAUGGCAAGAGGACUCUGUUCUAUUUCUUGCUUUCAUGGAUAUCCUAAAGGUUAUUCAUGACAUUAUUACAAUGUCUGUCCUUGUCUAGCUUGUACUUCGAAAAACCAUAAAGGGAAUUAUUAUGCUAUUUGUUACUAUAUUACUCAAAGGAAACACUUUUUUCUUCUUCUCUCCAGAGGAUGGGUUUUCUGUUUCUUAAGAGGACAGGUGCGGAGGAAUCAUUUGUUCUCUCUCACUGAGCACUCUUCAAGUUAAACUUUUGUUUUCUCCUGGGAGUGAAGAAAGAGACAGGGGUAAAAAAGAGACUAAUUAUUUUCAGUGACUAGUAUCAGUCAUUAAAAACCAAAGACUCAAAGACAGAACACUUUUGAAUUGCACCUGAGGUUAAAAAAGAAAAUAAAACAGGGAAAAGCCCUUUUCUUCUUUGCAAGACAGGUGUGUGCAUUUACUACCAACACACAUAGAAGGAUACACUAUUACACAUUUACGUUAACCAAUUAUGUUGCUCUCUCAGAACAUGCAGUUGCCCUCUGACGAGAUUGCCAUGGGACUGAAGAGGAGAAAUCCAGAGGCUAGGAGCAAUCUGAAGAGAGGUGAUGAAGGGAAAGAGGGGGAAAGAGAUGUGCAAGACAGCCUGAAAAGUGCAAACAGAGGAAGAGACAGUGCCACUCCUAUCCGGGACAGCUGCCACCAUGGGACAGAUGAGAACGACUGACAACGGAGUGAACUUCAGAGACACGACGGAAUGUCGCUUGAGAAAAUUAGCGCUGACUCAGCUCUUUUGGCCCAUCUAGAUGAGGAGCAGGACGUUACGGGCAUUUUAAUACUGACAAAUACAUACGUAAUGUGUGAUAGAUAGUGUACAGUCAGUUAGUUAUAAUGGCAAAAUAUUUUACAAUAAUGAUGACUGAUUGUACAUUAUGCCUCGUUACACAGUGACUCAGCAAAUACAUUUGCAGACAUUACAUGUUGAUUUUUUUUUUAAAUAUUUUAUCAUUUACAAAAUACUAAAUAAUAGUCAUUUAUAUGUUAUAGCUGCACUGUAAAAAUCCCAUCCUUCACAUGAUGCAGCUGAUUGGAUUAUUUUCAUAUCAGCAGCCAAUGAGUUUGCUGCUCAAUAUUAAAACGCUAAUUCUUUUCCAUUUGUCUUUCUUUUCCUACCCUGGGAUGCCCAUCUCCAGCUAUCUAGAGAUUACACCAGCUCCAGUGUGGAUCCAGUCUCAUAGAAAGACUUCAGAUGACCCAACACCUUUGAAGAGAUGAUGCUGACCCCUGCAAGGACCCCAGAUGUCGCCAACUUGAAUCGAUUUUCACAGGUACCCAAUUUUCUCUAUAUUGUAAUCAUUAUUAUCACACUUGCAAUAAUCGCUUUAAUGAGCUUCUGUCUGAAAUUAAUUCAUGUUAGCUAACUGUAUGAUUCUAUUACCUUGAACUGUUCAUUUGUGUAAUGCAACUGCUUUGAAACAAUGUGCUUUGUGAAAAGCGCUAUACAAACACAUUUGAAUUGAAUUGAAUCUAUUCAGCCAAGACCAAACACAUUAAAAUUGCUAUUUAUAUUACCAUCAUGCUGAACUCUGAGAGUUAUCAUGAGAACAUGUGGGUAACCAAACAGUUGCUGGUGUCCAUGUGAAAGUCAAUGGGCCCCGGCAACUGUUUGGUUACCAACAACUUGAGGCUGAGUAAAUGAUGACAGAAUUUCUGUGUUAACUAUCCCUUAAACUUUUUUUCUUCUUCUUUUUUUCUUUCUCAUCAGUAAAGCAUAGGGCUGUGAAUCUUUGGGUAGACAGUGAAUCGAUUCGAUUCACGAUUCAUAGAUUUUCGAUUCGAUUCAAGAACGAUUUUGGCAAAUUCAGAACGAUUCAGUUCGAUUUGA